GUGAGGAUAAGUGGCUCGGAAAAUGGAUGGAUGAGUAAAAUAAGAAAUCAAUAAAUAAACAAAUGAGUAAAUCAGUUAAAAGCUAAACCAAACAGGAAAACUAUGGAUUGCGAAGAAUGUACACCUGCAUCCAUCAACCCCCCGCAACAAUGUUUUCAGCGAGGGGCCUAACUAUCAUUGUGUGGCCUGGGCAGCACCACCCUUUUGCACCCCACUGGUGAGAUACUGGGAGCGAUGACACUGAAUGCGCCCAACACCCCAAGCCCCACCCACACCCCCACCACGCCACCACCCCACCCCUGGUAGUCUUACCAACCACAAACAAAGCCAGAGUGAGCUCCUUGGCUAGCAACAGGCAAGUGUAUCUACACUAACACUCCUGCUUUUUAAAUUCUCAUUUGGGUGGGUACAUGUUCAGAACAACAUCACACAAAGGAAUGCGAGUCAACUUAACGUCACAUGAGCAAUGAUCAGUGUGCACUAAUUGAGAGCAGGAUCAGAGGAGGACGCCUGGUUCUGAUGAAAGCAUGGAUGUCCCGGCUAAACAGAGGGGGGACUUUCCAGCCCAAAGAGUUCCAUGUGACCAUAUCCCCUCUCCUUCCAACAAGACAAGAGUCCUAUGUAAACACUGAGCUGUCCUCCACAUGCUUGGGUCUUCUCGGUAUGCAAGUUCAGGGAUUCUGCUGCCAUCUUCAGCAGAGGCCAAGCAGUGGGAGGCUGCCACCGCACGCCAGAAGGACAGGAAAUGGGAAAUUGAGACUGCUAACCAGUGCCAAUGGAAGGCUGAUUAGGGGAAACGAACCAGUGCUGAGGUUUGAGAGACAAACUGGGAGGAGCUCAUCAGGAAGCGAAUCAGUCGGUGAAAGUGCAGCAGUGGAAGUACCUGACAAUGAGGCAUGCAGCAACACUGGUACAGUCGCUUCCUAUCAGGUCCUCUGGCUGUGAGAAAGGCUGGCACGGGCUAAAAGUCAGCAGGAACACUCCAUUGACUGGCCCGUCGUCCGCAUGGACAGGCUUCAUCCGCCCAAGGAAACCGUCCGCAUCUCCCAUACCUUGCAGGUUUAUCACCCCACUGCCAUCCUUCAUGAUACAUUUGCAGUUGUUGACUCUGAAGCAGCCGGUCUUCUUGGUGGAGGCCAGAUGUGGGGACAUAAAUAAGGGGAACACACUAAAACAGACGGACAGUCUGAAGAGAAAGCUCAUGGUGGUUGUGUGCACCAGACUUGUGGACAGUGACAAGUGUGUUGUUGGUUCAGUGAUGGCCAACUGACAGCACGGUGUUACUAGGAAGGUAAUUAGAAUCAAGGUGACUGCAUUCCAGGCAUUCCUCAGGUCCUCUUUGCCCACAACAGCAUCUUUCAAACAGCAGUUUAAGUCAUGGCGUUACUUCACUGACUGCACAUGCAAUGUUGGCACAAAUCUACUCGUAGAAUAUAACAAACAGUGGUGCCUUGAAAUACGAGUUUAAUUAGUUCCGUGACCCCGGUCGUAAUGCAAAACACUCAUGUCUGAAAUAAUCUUUUCCCAUUGAACUGAAUGGAAAUGCCGUAAAUCCUUUCCAGCCUACCCCAAAAAUACUUUUUUUUAAAAAAACUUAGUGUAUUUUAAUGAGGAAAAAAAUAGAACUUCAUAACGUUGUACUUCAUUAAAACAUGACAAUCAAAUAGAAUUACAACAAAUUUAACUGUAUUUGUCACACUGCAAUGCCUGCAUUGGCCACCUGGGGGCAGUAUAAGACAGACCGACAGAUAUACUCUUCAAUGCGCUGUCUUAACAUCUCACAGUUCGUCAGUACGGCACUAAUAUUAGUCUUUUUUAAAGAAUUGGUCACUAUUUGCCAAAGUGCUGCGUAUUGGUAAGUGAACUGACUUCACUGCCACCAUACAGCGCUCGUAUCUCGUCUGCGCUCAUAAGUCAAAGCAAAAAAUAAAAAAUCAACCAAACAAUUGCUCGUAUCUUGAAAAACUUCCAAGUUGUGUCACUCGUAUCUCAAGGCACCACUGUGAUAUAAAAUAAAACUACAUGUUCCUGCAUACCAUCAUCCCAAAGGCAACUGUACAUAACAUUAACACUGAUGUCAGGAAGUUUCAAAUGCACGGCCGACACCCCUUGACCUCUGCUUGUAUAACCCACCACAAUCACUAUUAGUGACACACCAUAACAACCUGACACAACAUCGUCGUCUGUAGGAAGUCAGCCAACCACGAGAUUGAGUCACGGGCUACAUGGUGAACCACUUAUCAAGUUUGCCCCCCUUUAAAGAGUUGGUUCCUAAUAAGCAAUUGCAACAAACAACUUACAGGUUGUCCACAAAAAAACACCCCCUGACUUUAAACAGAUAUAUGAAGUAACUAUUGUUUGCACUUAGUAGCUACAGAGCCAUGAUUUCAUAGUUUGUGGUAUAGGGUAGUCACCACAAUCACCAGUUAGCAUUUCCAGAUGACUUCAACCAGUAACAGUUCAUCCUUCAAAGAGGCCAAAAUGUGUAUUAAGGACGAUAAGACUGAAAAUAAAAUUGAAAGGGACUCAAUGGACUUUAAUCGAUACACAGUAUUUCAACUGGUUUUGAUAUCAUAAUAUCAUGAAAUCAGUGUUUUUGUUGAGACCCAGAUCGUUUAUUGUUUGCCAUUGUCAAUCAAGAUCAAAGGGGAAGAAUCGUCACAUCUCUCAGUGUUUUGUGUGCUGCUCUAUAUCGUAAUCCAUUAUAUUGUGCCUUACAUUUACAAUAGUUUUAAUGGUAAUUACCUAACAAAAUUAUUGCUAAAGCUCAACUGCUUAAUUAUAAAAUGCUUGCUUUUUUCCCCUCAGGCUUUCAUAUCAAAAUCAGGAUUUUAAAUAAAGGAAAACUAAUAAACUUUAACUAUCAUUAAAGUCUCUAUCUUUCUCCCCUUUCUUUCAUUAAACAUGAACAUCGGAAAACUGCUGGACAAGGCUUCGAAAUCACACAUUGUAUUUGUACAAAAUGUGUAGGCUAUGCUUUAUGCAUGGAUGCUUUUUUGCUUUGGAAUGAAA